UGUCCGGAAUUACUGGGCGUAAAGAGCUCGUAGGUGGUUUGUCGCGUUGUUCGUGAAAUCUCACGGCUUAACUGUGAGCGUGCGGGCGAUACGGGCAGACUUGAGUACUGCAGGGGAGACUGGAAUUCCUGGUGUAGCGGUGGAAUGCGCAGAUAUCAGGAGGAACACCGGUGGCGAAGGCGGGUCUCUGGGCAGUAACUGACGCUGAGGAGCGAAAGCGUGGGGAGCGAACAGGAUUAGAUACCCUGGUAGUCCACGCCGUAAACGGUGGGUACUAGGUGUGGGUUUCCUUCCUUGGGAUCCGUGCCGUAGCUAACGCAUUAAGUACCCCGCCUGGGGAGUACGGCCGCAAGGCUAAAACUCAAAGAAAUUGACGGGGGCCCGCACAAGCGGCGGAGCAUGUGGAUUAAUUCGAUGCAACGCGAAGAACCUUACCUGGGUUUGACAUGCACAGGACGCCGGCAGAGAUGUCGGUUCCCUUGUGGCCUGUGUGCAGGUGGUGCAUGGCUGUCGUCAGCUCGUGUCGUGAGAUGUUGGGUUAAGUCCCGCAACGAGCGCAACCCUUGUCUCAUGUUGCCAGCGGGUAAUGCCGGGGACUCGUGAGAGACUGCCGGGGUCAACUCGGAGGAAGGUGGGGAUGACGUCAAGUCAUCAUGCCCCUUAUGUCCAGGGCUUCACACAUGCUACAAUGGCCGGUACAAAGGGCUGCGAUGCCGCGAGGUUAAGCGAAUCCUUUUAAAGCCGGUCUCAGUUCGGAUCGGGGUCUGCAACUCGACCCCGUGAAGUCGGAGUCGCUAGUAAU
rnacentral:rRNA from 1 species